GUAAAUAAAGUUGGUAGGGUCUAAACUCAAGACCAUCUAGUCUGACCCCAGAACCUCUACUUCUAACCUUUCACAGCAAACACAGUGAAUAUUUUUUGCUUCUAAUAUAAAAGUAUUCUGUGUUUAAGUUUUACUAUUUAAUUUCCACAAGGGCAUAGGUCUUUUUAGUUAUAGCUCCCAAAUGUCUGGAACUUCUAACAUUUAGUGACAAUAAAACUUG
rnacentral:lncRNA from 1 species